AGCUCCAAUAGCGUAUUUUAAAGUUGUUGCAGUUAAAAAGCUCGUAGUUGGAUUUUUGUUGGUUUUAAGUUUUUGUGGUUUUUUUAAAUUGCAUGAAAUUGAGACAACAUAUUUGGGAAUGGUAUUGUGAUUGCAUUAAGUUGUGGUUGCAAAACUGCCCAUCGUUUACUGUGAAAAAAUUAGAGUGUUUAAAGCAGGCGUUAUUGCCGUUGAAUACAUUAGCAUGGAAUAAUAAUAUACGACUAUUUUGCGAUAUUAUUGGUUUGUACGCAAGAGUAAUGAUUAAUAGGGGCAGUUGGGGGUAUUUAUAUUUGAACGUCAGAGGUGAAAUUCUUGGAUCGUUGAAAGAUAAACUAAGGCGAAAGCAUUUACCAAGGAUGUUUUCAUUA
rnacentral:rRNA from 1 species